AAAAAGAGGGAGGAGACAACUGAAAAUAAUAAUUACGAAAGCAUCUAACUACUAUAUAACAAAGGAGGUAGUCCAAUUGUAUAUUAUUCAUCACUCAUCAAAGAUAGUUAACAUCAUGGCACAGAUGAAGAAUGUAUCAAAUUGGAAGGAUGUUGAAUCAGUGCCAGAAAUUUAUGUGUUUCCAUCGGAGAAGAGGCCCGGCGUCCCGGUGAAGAUGACGAUUCCGGUACUUGAUUUUGACACACAUGAUCGAGCCCUUCUCUUCCAAAAAAUUCUUAACAUUACUCAAGAGUUCAGGUUUUUGCAGGUGAUAAACCAUGGAGUAUCAAAAGAAUUGAUAAACGAAACGAUGAAGAUUUUGAAGGAGUUUCAUGCCAUGUCGUUGGAAGAUAAAGAGACGGAAUGUUCCAAGGACCCCAACAAAAGUUGCAAAUUUUAUACAAGCUCUCAAUAUUAUGACAAUGAACACACUCACAACUGGAGAGAAGCUUUGACUUUCAAAUGUCAUCCUUUGGACAAAUAUGUUCAUUUUUGGCCCGAAAAGCCACCUAAAUUCAGGGAGGUGGUUGAAGCAUAUUGUGUUGAAAUGAGAAACUUUGCUUGCAAGAUAUUGGAGGUGAUUAGUGAAGGGUUGGGACUUGGAAGAGAGUAUUUUGAGAGUGAAAUGAGUGAAAAUCCAUUGCUUACAAUAAACCAUUACCCACCAUGCCCAAACCCUAGCUUGACUUUGGGAUUGUUCCCACAUUGUGAUCCAGACCUCAUCACCAUUUCGUUUCAAGAUGUCAAUGGCCUUCAAGUCUUCAAGGAUGGUCAAUGGAUUGAUGUUGAUCCCAUUGAUGAUUCCCUUCUCAUCAACUUUGGCUAUGUUCUCGAGGUGAUUAGCGAUGGAAAGCUAAAAGCAACGGAACAUCGAGUCGUGACGAAUUCGAAGACAUCUCGACAAAGCUUAAACUAUCUAGUUUUUCCUGGAAAUGAUGUGACUAUAGAACCAGCAAAGAGGCUGAUAGAUGAAGCUAACCCUCCACAAUAUCGCUCCAUCAAGUUCAAAGUAUUUAUGACAGAAUAUUUUCCUAUGUCCAGAGAUAGAGAUGUAGUGAUUAAGUAUUUAGCUUCAACCAAUCUCAAUGAGUGUCUAAAAUAGAACUGUUGUGUUGUUAGCUGAUUACUAUUAUUAUAAUAUUAAAGAACUAUUGUAUGUUACUAUCGUGUGAGUAUUGUUAUCCUAG
rnacentral:misc_RNA from 1 species